AUGCAAUUACCCCCCUCUGUUUCUUUUCAUUUGGGUGUACUAGGAUCUGAAAAAGAAGUCAGGCUUAUCAAAUUUUUUACUAACAAUUACUUGAUCAGUCUAUAUAACAUUCAGUGUACCAAUGUUUUAUCAAUAGAAUCAUAUUUCAAAGGGAUACUUAAACAAUGUUGAUUUGCAGAAAUUGAUAUUAUGAUAUAAAGAGGGCCAGUGGUUAGCAUAUACGUACUGUAGUAUUGAUAUGUUUCCCUAGUACAAGAAACAGAGGGAGAGACAGGGAGUAAUUCAAAGCAUACUCUCAUAGUAUAUUAGUAUGUAUGUUUUGUAUGUGCGUAGUGGUGAGUGGUUUGUUUCACAAAAAAGGGAAAUGGUUAUCAAGCCCCAAAAUUGAAAAAAAAAGAAAUAUAAAUGAGCAUAUUAAAAGCUUGAGCGGCAAGAAAGCGCCAACACCACA
rnacentral:lncRNA from 1 species